GCCAACGACCAUACCACGUUGAAUACACCAGUUCUCGUCCGAUCACUGAAGUUAAGCAACGUCGGGCGUAGUUAGUACUUGGAUGGGUGACCGCUUGGGAACACUACGUGCCGUUGGCUAUU
rnacentral:rRNA from 1 species